GUAAAAAAAUGACAGUAGCUUUGCCACUUACUUCCUGUAACACUUUAUGUUUAUUAGCAGUCUGGUUUUAGCCUAAAAGUCACAACUUUUUUGGAAGUUUUCCCUAACCAGUCACCCCAGAUUAGGCACAUGCCUCUAGGUUAGAGUCCUGUCACCAGAGAUUGAUCACACUUGAUUGUGAUUGUUAGACAACUGUCUCAUUCAAUAGACUGUCAGUUUCUGGAGGGCAGAGAUCUUGUCUCUGUUGUUCCUCUUUUAAUCCCCAGUGUCUAGCAUCUCAGAGACACUUGUUGAAUGAAUUCAUUAACGACUGGCUGAAUAAUGAGCAAUUCAUGAAAAAACACUUUAUAUUCACAGGUUUUGGGUAAGACAGUAGCUCCCUUAAAACACACACACACUCUUCAUGGUAUGUCACAGAACUACAGUCUACACUCAGUGCAAAGGGUUUCAAAAUCCAGUAGGAAGGACAAAUAUUGUCCCUCUUCUGUCCUUGGAGAAGAUAUUGUGCAAGUGUGGAGUUCUCCUGGAGAAAUAUUCUUUUUUUUUCUUUGAGAUGGAGUUUCACUCUUGUUGCCCAGGCUGGAGUGCAAUGGCACGAUCUUAGCUCACUGCAACCUCUGCCUCAUGGGUUGAAGCAAUUCAAGACCUGCCUUAGCCUCCUGGGUAGCUGGAAUUACAAGCACCCACCACCACAUCCAGCUAAUUUUUUGUAAUUUCAGUAGAGAUGGGGUUUCACUAUAUUGGCCAGGCUGGUCUCGAACUCCUGACUUCAGACAAUCCACCCGCCUCAAUCUCCCAAAGUGCUGGGAUUACAGGUGUGACCUCCCCCCUCCCCCGCCGGUGAAAUAUUCUAAAAGGAGAAUAAGAUGGUAUGCACACUUGUGCUUUUUCCCAUACCAAGGUCAGUGGUGCUGAGAGCCGUGUAGUACAAUGAUACUGUGGUGUAUCUGGAAUUGGUGGGUUCUUGGUCUCACUGACUUGAAGAAUGAAGCCCCAGACUCUCAUGAUGAGUGCUACAGUUCUUAAAGAUGGUAUGUCCGGAGUUUGUUCUUUCUGAUGUUCAGACGUGUUUGGAGUUUCUUCCUUCUGGUGGAUUUGUGGUCUCACUGGCUUCAGGAGUGAAGCUGCAGACUUUCACAGUGAGUAUUACACCUCUUAAGGCAGCGCGUCUGGAGUUACUCAUUCCUCCCAUGGGUUCAUGGUCUCGGUGGCCUCAGGAUUGAGGCUGCAGAGCUUCACGAAGAGUGUUACAGCUCAUAAACUCAGUGUGUACCCAAAGAAUGAGCAGCAGCAAGUUAUCUCAAAGAUCAAAAAAACAAAACUCCCAUAGCGUGAGCGUGGAAGAGAACCUGAGCCAGUUGCCACUACUAGCGCAGGCAGCCUGCUUUUAUUCCCUUUUCUGACCCCACCCACAUCCUGCUGAUUGGCCCAUUUGCAGAGAGCUGAUUGGUCCAUUUUACAGAGCGCUGAUUGGUCCAUUUUACAGACAGCUGAUUGGUCUGUUUUGACAGGGUGCUGAUUGGUGCAUUUACAAUCCCUGAGCUAGACGCAGAGUGUUGAUUGCUGUAUUUACAAUCCUCCAGCCUGAGGUAAAAGUUCUCCAAGUCCCCACUAGAUUAACUAGACACAGAGCACUGAUUGGUGCAUUUACAAACCUUGAGCUAGACACAGGGUGCUGAUUGAUGCGUUUACAAACCUUGAGCUAGACACAGACUGCUGACUGGUGUGUUUACAAACCUUGAGCUAGACACAGAAUGCUGAUUGGUGUAUUUACAAUCCUUUAGCUAGACAUAAAGGUUCUCCAAGUCCCCACUAGAUUAGACACAGAGCACUGAUUGGUGCAUUUACAAACCUUGAGCUAGACACAGGGUGCUGAUUAGUGUGUUUACAAACCUUGAGCUAGACACAGAGUGCUAAUUGGUGUAUUUACAAUCCUUUAGCUAGACAUAAAGUUUCUCCAAGUCCCCACCAGAUUAGCUAGAUAGAGUGCUGAUUGCUGCAUCCAUGAACCCUGAGCUAGACACAGAGUGCUGAUUGGCGCAUGUACACUCCUCCAGCUAGACAUAAAAGUUCUCCAAGUCCCCACCCAACUCAGGAGCCCAGCUGGCUUCGCCUAGUGGAUCCUGUGCUGGGCCGGGGCGGAGUUGCCCGCUAGUCCCGCUCUGCGCAGCUGCACUCCUCAGCCCUUGGGCGGUCGAUGGGAUGGGGCGCCGCGGAGCAGGGGGUGG
rnacentral:lncRNA from 1 species